rfam:Shimwellia blattae DSM 4481 = NBRC 105725, complete genome.
ACUUUUCUGGUUGCAGCCUGAGCAAUCAGGCUGAUGGCUGGUGACUUUUUGGUCACCAGCCU